AGAGACAAUGAAAGAAAUGGAGUGAGAAAAGAUACAGGUCAUGAGCAAGGAAGGGGGAGGGAGGAAAGGAAGGAAGGUAGAGUAGAGGGCAGAGAGAUCUAAAGAGAAGUCAGUUAAAAAUAAAGGUGGAUGGAUGUAUGAAAACUAGGUAGGUAGGUAAACAAGAUUUUAUAAGGAGGGCCUGGUACAAAAGAUAAUAUUAAAAGAUAACGAGAGAGAGUGAAGGGAAAAAGGUUUAAAAGUGGAACCAGUAAAGAAAGGAGUAUAAGAAGAAUAGAG